rnacentral:rRNA from 1 species
CCCUUAGAUGUUCUGGGCCGCACGCGCGCUACACUGAUGCAUUCAACGAGUUUCUUCCUGGUCCGAGAGGAAUGGGUAACCUUUUGAAAGUGCAUCGUGAUAGGGAUAGACUAUUGCAAUUAUUGGUCUUCAACGAGGAAUUCCUAGUAGACGUAGUUCAUCAGACUGCUUCGAUUACGUCCCUGCCCUUUGUACACACCGCCCGUCGCUCCUACCGAUUGAAUGCUCAGGUGAGCCAUUCGGACUUUCAUCAUGCUGGUUUCCAGUUUUGAUGAAGGAAAGUCUUGCGAACCUUAUCAUUUAGAGGAAGGAGAAGUCGUAACA